rnacentral:rRNA from 1 species
CGGGACUGGUGAGUAACGCGUGAGGAACCUGCCUUCCAGAGGGGGACAACAGUUGGAAACGACUGCUAAUACCGCAUGAAACAUUUGAACCGCAUGGUUUGAAUGUCAAAGAUUUAUCGCUGGAAGAUGGCCUCGCGUCUGAUUAGCUAGUAGGCGGGGUAACGGCCCACCUAGGCGACGAUCAGUAGCCGGACUGAGAGGUUGACCGGCCACAUUGGGACCGAGAUACGGCCCAGACUCCUACGGAAGGCAGCAG